rnacentral:lncRNA from 1 species
AUUAGGCAGUGAAGACAGUGAGUUACUCAGCUGAUUUGUUCCUUGGAGAGUCAGGCUAUCUGCUCAUCCUACUCAAUAUCCAGGCCUGCCUGAACCUCAAGACUGGGUGGGCACCGUUCAGAGGCCCCCAGCCCCUGUACUUCUCCUGCGAGGGCCCAGCUCAUCAUCAGAUCCCUGGGGCUUGGAACCAAGUAGCCACUUCAUAAACACAUGGAUUUUGGGGUGCCCCGGCCCCCAUAAAGAGAUCAAAUUAUGUCUCCUGCAUUCUGCUGUAAUGAAAUGAAGCAUAAAAUAUGUUUUAGAAGAAAAUUACUAUAAAAAGUUUCAAAAUAGUUAUUUAAAAAGGACCCCGCCAACACGCAUUAUUGACCCAAGGAAUCUUCGGGAUGGACUCUGCUUCUGAUCACAUCUUCACCUGCUCGAGGAUCACCUGUGGCACGUCGGGCUCUGAAUGCAAUCCCCAGGUCACCCCAUUUCAUGCGUCUGCAUUCUUAACAUCACUGCCCAUUAACAUGCAUCUCAAUGCAUCCAAAAUACCGCACCCCCAUCACAUUAGAGAGCAUUAAAAAUAAGCCAGCUCAAUGCACAAAAAUGAGGGCGACAAUCGGAAAGACAAUGAUGUUUCUAAAGAAUGUCCAAUCUUAACUGUA